UUUUUUUAUUUUUUUAUUUAUUUUUAAAGAUUUUAUUUAUUUAUGAUAGACAUAGAAGAGAGAGAGAGAGAGAGAGAGAGAGAGGCGCAGAGACACAGGCAGAGGGAGAAGCAGGCUCCAUACCGGGAGCCCGAUGUGGGACUUGAUCCUGGAACUCCAGGAUUGCGCCCUGGGCUGAAGGCAGGCGCUAAACCGCUGAGCUAUCCAGGGAUCCCGGCAUCAGCAUUUUAAAAACUCCCCAGGAGUGAUUCCAAUGGGCAGCCAAUCUGGGGAACCACAGUUUUGAAUGUUGACAUCUGGGUCCUACCCAAACCACAGAAAUCAGGUCUGAAGGCUGGAGCCUGGGCAUGUAUGUAUAACACACACAUGAAAAUGGAAUGUUCAGAGGCAUCCAUUCCCACAACAGUCUUUACAGCCCUGCCUAUACGGUUAGUGCCCUCCAGGGCUGUAUGAACCUGACAGGGGAGGCACAAAUGGCACAUGAUUCAUGAAAAUGGCAUUCUCACCAGUGAAUCCUGCCCUCAGGGCUCCCACAGUCCUCACACUCUGGGUACUGUCUCCCUCUCCGGAAUUUCUCUAGCUGUUUUUCCUUUGGGUGCCUUCAGACAAAAGAAAAAUCUUUCCAGCUCCCUUCUCACCAUGUUUGAAAAUUGGGAAUGGCUUUUGGUCACUCAGUGUCCCAGGUUAAAUUUAAGAAUUGGAGGGCUCUCUGCUCCCUACUGAGGAAGAAGAUAGGUGGCCCAUUCACCAGGCCAGAAAUGGCCAAAAGGUAAGAGAGAAAAUACUCUUGAUUCCUCAUUUUACAGGAGCGCCUGGGUGGCUCAGGUGAUUAAGUGUCUGCCUUCAGCUCAGGUGGCAAUCUCAGGGUCCUGGGAUGGAGUCCUAUGUUAGUUCCCUGCUCAGUGGGGACCCUGUUUCUCCCUCUAUCUCUGCCCCUUCCCCUGGCUUGUGCUCACACUAAUAAAUAAAAGUAUUUUUUAAAAACCCUUAUUUCACAAUUUUGAUGCUGUGUGCCUUGAUUUAUCCAACAAGUGGGAAAAAGAAUGUGGUUGGGAUACCUAUCAUCUAAAGGAUUCCUAAUACAAAUCCUCUUGUGGAAAUGCUGAUGUUUAUAUGACAAGUGAGCACUUUAAAAGAUGUUAAGCCUGCAAAAUCACUCAUUAAAACUUGGAAAAAUAAGCUCAACACCUCCUCUUCUUUUCCAGAUUACCUCUGCACAGUUGCCAUUUUAAUUUAGCGUGACCUACUUUUUUGCCAGCACUGACCAUUCAUCUACAUGCCUAAUGACCAAGAGAAAUAUUCUCUGUAAUUUCUGUUGCAUCAGGAACAGAGCUGGGCUGCAAGUUAAGAGAAGUGGGCUCUGGGUCCCACAUCACCACUAAGCCCCUGUGUGACCCAGAACAAGUUAUUUGAUCUUCAAGUUCUUCAUGUAUAAAACAAGAGAAUAAAUCCUCACAGGGAUGGUUUUCUUCCAGUUCAAACAUCAUGUGGUUCUCAUUUGCUUGUGGACAAUGACAUUAGCCUGGUGGAAAAGGCUAAUAAGCUUAUUACUUUGUUUCCCUAAAAAUGGAUAAUUAUUUGAGAGAAAGUACCUUGAGUAACCAAUCCCAUAAAACAAAGAUUAAGUAACUAAUAAAUACACCAUAACAUCCCAGAUGUCACAAGCCUACAGAAAACAGAGAGACAGCGUAUGCUGAUAAUAUUAAUGAGGAAAACAAUCACACAUCUAACCAUGAUUUCAGAGAAGGAAACAGAUGUUGUGGCAGGAACAUACAAGGAGGCAGCUUGGGGCAUUUAGGAAAGAAUGUCCAGAAGCAACAGUAAAGUUCUUUCUACUACAGUUUCUAGGGAACUUAGGGUUAAAGGAACAAGGAAUGUGACUUCUAGUUUUUGGACUUCCCAGGUAGUGACCGUGUUGCCUAAGACGAGCCACUCGUCUUCCCCAAGCUCAAGGCUUCCCAUCUGUCAAGUGGGAAUCAUAUAAUAGAGACCCAAUGUACCAGACGGACCACUGGAGCUCAAGGAAGGCACCCCGGUUACAGAGAUGGCUUGAUUUAAUACGGCCUCAUAGAAGCUAUGCAAAGCUGAGGAGUGUGUGUCCCUAUUGCUCUUGACCUGGCCCACUGAGAAAGCACCUCGAGAUAAUACUCAGAGCUGAUGGGCUCUCCUAUGAUGGCUUCUUUCCUUUCUCUCAUCUUCUUCAUUUUCCCCUUAUUUACUUAAUAAACCCAAAUCUGUGCUUAUUUUUAAAAUUAAAUAGUACAAGAGGGUAUAAAACAAAAAUAAAAAGUCCUUGCCCUCACCCCCUCAACCCCCAGUUGCUUCUUGCUUCUUACCACUAGUAACAAUGACUUCUGUGUCCUUCCAGAAAAAAACUUGCGAGUAGCUCAUAAUCAUAACUGUACAUGAACAUGUUCCUAUACCUGCCCCCUCUCUCUAGAGCGAGACACCUUCUUUUCCAGGUAUCUAUUACUGGAGAGGAAAGAUCUUAUUUCACAUAAUCUCAGUUUAAGGCAAUACAGUUUUAGAUUACUGAAAUCUGACAUUGCUUUUAGUGGUGAUAAUUAAAUAAUGGUGCUAUCGUUAUUUCUUAGCAAUAGGAAAGGGGGAAGAACAGAACAAGAAGGUUAUUUAAUACGCUAUGAAAGCCAAUUCCUGAAUUCAGGAGUGUCGAGCAAAACACUGUAUUGUUUGUUGGUUAAAUAAGAGAAAAGUCGGCUGUGAAAGGACAGAUAAAUAAACCUUUGGUUCUGUGGAUCUACUUUUGAAUAAGCUGAAUAGAGAAGUCAAGGGGUUUUUUACCUCCUCUUGUUCCAUAAAUGUAUUUCAGGUUCACUUUCAAAGACGGCUCACCGAAAAAAAAGGGGGUGGAUUAACAAAUUCACUGAAUAACUUUUGAAGAAUGAAGGCAUACACAAAAAUUUAAAAACAAGACUUUAAGCUUUUAGCUAAAGUAGUUUAAUAAACCAAAAGCAUUUUCACAUCGGACCGCAUACUCCCUGUCAUCCUUCAUCCAACGAAAUUAAUAAGGACCAAGUCUUUUUAUUUGUCUUUAAUCUCAAUUCAGCUCAAGAAUAUGGUAAAGUAGAGAAAGAAUGAAUAGUUAUUUAGGCCGUGACAUGCCCAGGACUAUUCACCAGACAUACUCUCACCCAUGCUGUUAACCAAUGGUCUCUCUCCUUACUCUGCACAUCCCGAGGUUCUGUCAUUUUGAUGGGACAUAGGUCACUGGCUUUAUUACACAGCAGAUGGGUGGGUUGCUCAAGCCCUCUUUGGUGCCCUUUAAUAGGCAUUAAAACUCUAUAAUAAUUGGUCAAGACAUUGCUCCUUUUCUCUCCUCCAAUCUGGAAAGCUCAAAGCAAUCCAGUGUAGUUACCGUAUUAUAUAUAUCUCACCUCCUCUCCUCAAGUGGUUACUGCAAUCCUCUUCCUGAUUCUCCUCUUACAAAUAUAAUCAUUUCAGAUUUCUGAAUCUCUUUGUCCCUUUUUUCCUGUUGAAAGUGGCAUAAACACUUUACUGUCCUGAGUCCUCUUCAAAAGUUCUGAGUAUCUGGUAAAAAGUGCCAUUGCCACCAUACGAGAAGGCAAAGUCCUAGUCUCUGUGACAAGUACAAAGAUUUGCUCAUCUAACUUUGUCUGAACUCCCUGUGGUUCUCACGUAUGUUACUGAAAUCGUAGCAUAUUAUAUCUUAUUAACAGACAAAAUGGUCUCAAAAUGACUGGAAAAAACUCAAAUUCAAAUAAAUAAUAAAUUGACAAUAGAAAUAUAGAAAUGGCCUUGAUGGAUCUCAAAAUAACUGUACCUCUUUAGAAAAGACUUUAAGAGCCCUACUUACUGAUAAAUAAAAGAAAUGUGAACUUGUCCCUAAAGUGAAUCAUGCUGCAGGAAUUAAUUUACUUCAUUUCAGGCUGAAGAGUUUUCAGACAUCAUGGUUCAUAAAUUCUUAUAACUGGUAGGGCUUUCUAGUAAUUCUGCCUCUAAAAAUAAUCAUGGAAGGGUCAUUUUCUGGGAGAAUAGAAAAUUUGCUUCUUCACAAUUAAGUCAUUUAUCCUUUCUUCCAAAGACAUCAGUCACAAUCUAGAACUACCUGGGAGUGGAGUGACAGUUUUGUUCCUUUAAGGACAGUUAUUAAAGCCUAAUUGAAGGAUUUCUAUUUCUAGCUAAGGGUAGACUAUGUUAUAUAUAAUCUUUCCUAUGUGUGAAAUAUUUUAAGAUAAAAAUAAAAAUAAGCUGGAUAAGUCAUAAUGGAAUACAAAAAUAGCUCCCUGGUAUAAAAUGGUCUCCAAAAAGUUGGUGGGAAUAGUCUCCCAGAAAUCAAGUCCUUUCCAGAGGGGCAGAUCCCUGCUGGCCACACCUGCCUUUGUUUUACCCAACAGCUCCACAUCUGAAGAGUGAGAGCAGAUUGUGUUUUCCCGGGCUGAUAGCCACUUCCUGAGAGGACAGCUCUUGAGGUUCCUGGGGACAAAGUACCCCAAAAUAAAAAUAAGAGCCUCCCUCAAAAAAAAAAAAAAAAAAAAGGCAAUGGAUGCUCUGAUAAGGUAAGUGGAGGAAGCUGGUGGAGAGGGGCUUCCCGCCAUUUGGUGCCUCUAAGCCCAAGCUUUUCAAACUCAGCAAAUGCAUUUUUUUCAUUGUAAAAUUCUCUGGCUUCAGGAAGAUUGGGGAAAACCUCUAUGCACAGAGCUGGAGCAAGGUAGGGGGAAAAUACAUUUGGCUAGUGAUCCUGAGAACACACGGAUAAGCAUGUGACUUCUAAAAGCCAGACAGGAUUACAUAAGCUUCUUUGGAAACAUUAGAUUCAACAAGAGUCCCCUGGAAAGGCCACCCUGACUCCUCAGCCUGGACACAAAUAGUUCAGUCUCCACAAGGACUAGACUUGGCCAUGGGUGAAAAAUUCUGCUUUCCAUGGAAAAAUGCUGGGACCAGGUUAAAGGGAAGAAAUCUUACCCAGCUAAAAUCCAGGCUACUCGUUUUCCUUCUUAACAGUUUCUGGCAUAGAAAGCAUCUUAUCACGUCCCUUGGUCCUAAAUUUGCAUCUCUCUGCCAGGCCAGUAUGGAUAAGAAGGAAGAAACCAGAUGGAGACUUAUGACUGACAGGGCUCCAGGUGCCACUCCUGCAACUGCUUACCCAGCCAGCUCACCUGCCUUAUUAGGAAAAGCCUAAGGGAUUAGUCUUUUCUAUGUAGGGAAAUAUAUCUACAUUUAGCUGGAUCCAGUUUGAAGGGACGUAUUCGUCCCAGCCUUGGCUUUCCAGCUGUCACCAGGAUGAUAUAUCGGGAGUAGUGGAGAAAGUUCUCUGGGCACGGGCAGGCAAAGGGCAGCAGGUGUUCUGUGCUCCUCUCCUGUCUGUCUCUAGGGUAGACCACACUCACUUGUCUCCGCUAGAGUGGUGAACUGGGUAAUACGAACCAAACUUCCCAAAGAACACAACAAAGAAACCUAGAUGAAAUAUUUGUUGAAAUUCGUCCUAAAAGCACAGAAGAACUAACAAGAUUGGGAGGGACUUCAGACUUAAGAUCUGGAAGACAGAGGUCCAGAGACGUGGACCUAAGCAGCGGGGGCCACUUUUACCCAGUCAGAUGGACUGUGAAUCCAAAUGAGGAAGUUAGGAGGCUGAGCAGCACUUUCGGCAGCCUCUAGAGCCUGGGGGCCAGCACAUCCCUAGACUAAAGCCCAGUAAACCACUUCAUGUUUACAUUUGGGACCCUAGGAGUAAGAGAAAACAAAAAAUAAACUGGUCUGACUCCACAUCAUGUGGGUAGCCUAAAAAAUUUCAAGUCCCCAGACUGUCCCAGGAUUGCUAGUCCCCCAAGAAGCCCGAAGAAGCUAUUUAAAAUCUUCUCUGAAAUUCCUGUCAUUUUUUUCCCAUCAUUUUUAUCAGCACCACUCAAAGCCUCAGAUUACUGCAUUUCAUCAAUCUUAAAUAUCACUAAUUAUAUGAUUGCACUACUAUUUUAGGUACCAGUGAAGAAGAAAAAAAAAAAAGUCAGGUACCUACUAUUUUAGGUAGAACUAUAAAUUUAAGUCUCCAUCAACUAUAAACCACAUCUGAAUUUGACAUUAAAGUGUGGGGGGGGGGGGAGUACAUCUUAAAAUUGAUGAGAUGACAUUUAUGCAAAUAUUUUUUCAAAACAAUAUCUAGCACACAUUCAAAGAUAAUCAGGCACAUAAGGAGAUAUAAAUAGGAAUCAGCAUGAUAAUGAGAAAAACAGAAGAAACACAGAAUGUGAAACAACUAUACUUACUAUGCUCAUGGAGAUACAAAGUUGGCUUAAACAUUUCAAAACAAGGAAACAGGACUAUAUAAGUGUAACAUUAAAGAUUUGAAAAAGAACUAAGAAACUUUAGAAUUGAAAUUCAGUAACUAAAAUUAAGAAUGUAACAGAUGGAUGUAUCUCAGAUUAGAUACAGCUGAAGAGACACCGUGUGAUUUAGAAGACAGAUCAGAAGAACUAUUGGAAUGUAGCCAGGAGAUAUAAAAAAGAUCGAAAAUACAGAAAAGAGCGAAAGAGAUAAAGAAGAUACAGUAAGGAAAAUUAAGAGAGUAAAACAACCUUACAACCCAAAGUUCUCCCAGAAAUAGGCAAGAGAAUUCAGAGGACAUCACUAAUAACCCUAAUAACCCUCAGCUUUUUCAACGACCAACUGCACCACAGUAGUAGGUCACCCUAGUGAAGACCCGGAGAUGGUAUAACCCUGGUUACAAGUUGCAAUGUUGCAUUUUAUAAGAAAUAAGUAUUUGGCCAAUCAGAUGACCAAAAGCCAUUUCUCACGUAUAUUUGGUCUUUGUCCCUGUCCCUAGUUCCUGGCUCACAACUCCCCAAACCUUAGGAAAUUUCCUGAGCAAGAAGAACAAUGGGAACAUCUUUUGGCAUGAUAUGUAGUCUCUGUCCUUUGUUCCUGAAAUCACUUCAGAGCCAAAAGGUAAGAUGGGUAUCUUGCCAUUCAUAAAAAGCCCCACUCCUUACAGUGACUGUGUUUAUGUUAAUCAGGUGACUCUUGGAAAGCACCGAAGGAUGGGGUUGGUUGCCAGGGGAACUAACCAUGAACAGAGUGAUGGAACUUUCAGUUCCAUCCCCUGACUUAAAGAGUAGGAGAGGGGGCCAGAGGCUGCAUCAGCCACCCAUGGCAAUGAUUUAAUCACUUAUGCCUAUGUAAUGCACUCUCCAUAAAAAUCCAAAAGGAAAAGGGUUCCGAGAGCCUCUGUUUGGGAAACCUGAAUGCUUCCGCAUACCACAGGCGCCUGGCCCCAAACUCCAUGUGGACAGAAACUCCUUUGUUUGUUUGGAACCUCACCCUAUGUAUCUCUUCAUCUGGCUGUUGAUUCAUACUCUUUAAUACACCUUUGUAAUAAACCAGUAAUCUAAUGAGUCAACAGGUUUCCUGAGCUCUGAGCCACUUCAGCAAAUUUACUGAACCCAAGGAGUGGGGAAUGGGAACCUCUGAUUUACAACCAGUCAGUCAGAAGCAAAGAGAACCAGUGGGGCUUGCAACUGGCUAGGGGGGGUGUGGGGGAGGGAGUCUUGUGAGACUGAGCCCUUAACCUGUGGAAUCUGAUGCUCUGUCCCAGGACAUGGAGGCAGAAUCGAGUUGAACUGCAGGACAGCCAGCUGGUGUCCAAGAACUGCUUGAAUGUGUGGAGAGAGCAGCCCUGUGCCCGGAACUGAUGACGGAACUCUUCUGAAAGAAGAGACAGAACAUGAAGACUCCUAACUCAGGGAAACGAACUAGGGGUGGUGGAAGGGGAGGAGGGUGGGGGGUGGGGGUGACUGGGUGACGGGCACUGGGGGGGCACUUGACGGGAUGAGCACUGGGUGUUAUUCUGUAUGUUGGUAAAUUGAACACCAAUAAAAAAUAAAUUCAUUAAAAAAAACUUUCAAGCACAAAUACAUAAUGAAUAUUAACAUACCAAAAAAAAAAAAAAAGAAAAAGAAAAGAAA
rnacentral:lncRNA from 1 species